AGCUCCCUGCACUGCGCCCUGGGUGGGUGGGUGAAUGUGAAGAGGCGGCGUUGGGCUAGGCCCCUGCAGCCCGCUCGGAGCUUCCUAGGCCUGGGGCUGCGCUGUGAAAACCCAGAUUCUCAUCCCAGAGGCCCAGCAGUCCGGAAAGGCCUCUUCUCCGACCCUGCGCCGGGUCCGCCGGACAAAGUUCAGAAGCUCGGGCUAGCUGGGCCAGCGCCAUUUUCUCGCACUUGUGGCUGGAUCUGGUUGUCCCGGCGACUGCGCCCCGGCGCGGUCUCUUCUCCUCUACCUCUGACUCGCCCUCAGACGCCGGGGAAGGUGUGGCUAGAUCCCGGCCCCGGCCGAGGGGUCCCGGGAGAGGAGCUGGGUGGCGGUGGCCAGACAGAGCGCGGUAGCUGGCCCGCGCCUCCCUCCCCGAGGCACCAUUGUUCCGGGAUCGCUGUGACCGCCACAAAGUGAAUCCUUUCGGUGCGGACAGUCGCCUUCAAAGCCAGGCCCCGGAUUCAGCUCCUGGGAAGUUCUAGGAUGUGACUUUAAACUGGAAUGACUCUCA
rnacentral:sRNA from 1 species